rnacentral:rRNA from 1 species
CAGGCGCGCUACCAUGCAGUCGAGCGAACCUUCGGGUUAGCGGCGGACGGGUGAGUAACGCGUGGGAACGUACCCUCUUCUGCGGGAUAGCCACUGGAAACGGUGAGUAAUACCGCAUACGCCCUUCGGGGGAAAGAUUUAUCGGAGGAGGAUCGGCCCGCGUUGGAUUAGGUAGUUGGUGGGGUAAUGGCCUACCAAGCCUACGAUCCAUAGCUGGUUUUAGAGGAUGAUCAGCCACACUGGGACUGAGACACGGCCCAGACUCCUACGGGAGGCAGCAGUGGGGAAUCUUAGACAAUGGGCGCAAGCCUGAUCUAGCCAUGCCGCGUGAGUGACGAAGGCCUUAGGGUCGUAAAGCUCUUUCGCCAGAGAUGAUAAUGACAGUAUCUGGUAAAGAAACCCCGGCUAACUCCGUGCCAGCAGCCGCGGUAAUACGGAGGGGGUUAGCGUUGUUCGGAAUUACUGGGCGUAAAGCGCACGUAGGCGGAUUGGAAAGUUGGGGGUGAAAUCCCAGGGCUCAACCCUGGAACUGCCUCCAAAACUCCCAGUCUGGAGUUCGAGAGAGGUGAGUGGAAUUCCGAGUGUAGAGGUGAAAUUCGUAGAUAUUCGGAGGAACACCAGUGGCGAAGGCGGCUCACUGGCUCGAUACUGACGCUGAGG